UGCUGCACACUUUGCCAGCACAUAUAUUAAAAUUGGAACACCACAGAGAUUAGCAUGGCCCCUGCCCAAGUAUGAUAUGCAAAUUAAGAAGUGGUCCACAUUUUU
ensembl:snRNA U6 U6 spliceosomal RNA